AUUGAACGCUGGCGGCAUGCCUCACACAUGCAAGUCGAACGGCAGCACGGGAGCAAUCCUGGUGGCGAGUGGCGAACGGGUGAGUAAAGUAUCGGAACGUGCCCAGUCGUGGGGGAUAACGUAGCGAAAGUUACGCUAAUACCGCAUACGAUCUAUGGAUGAAAGCGGGGGAUCGCAAGACCUCGCGCGAUUGGAGCGGCCGAUAUCAGAUUAGGUAGUUGGUGGGGUAAAGGCUCACCAAGCCGACGAUCUGUAGCUGGUCUGAGAGGACGACCAGCCACACUGGGACUGAGACACGGCCCAGACUCCUACGGGAGGCAGCAGUGGGGAAUUUUGGACAAUGGGCGCAAGCCUGAUCCAGCCAUGCCGCGUGCAGGAUGAAGGCCUUCGGGUUGUAAACUGCUUUUGUACGGAACGAAAAGGUUUGACUUAAUACGUUGGACUCAUGACGGUACCGUAAGAAUAAGCACCGGCUAACUACGUGCCAGCAGCAGCCGCCGUAA
rnacentral:rRNA from 1 species